rnacentral:rRNA from 1 species
CCCGCCGGCGACCGGCGCACGGUGAGUAACACGUAUGCAACCUGGCCGCCACAGGGGGAUAACCCGCGGAAACGCGGCCUAAUACCCCGUGACGCCACCGGAGGGCAUCCUCCGGUGGCCAAAGGAGCGAUCCGGUGGCGGAUGGGCAUGCGGCGCAUUAGCUAGACGGCGGGGUGACGGCCCACCGUGGCGACGAUGCGUAGGGGUUCUGAGAGGAAGGCCCCCCACACUGGGACUGAGACACGGCCCAGACUCCUACGGGAGGCAGCAG